CUCUGAAAAUCCCACGCUUUUACUUUGCUAGCUUCUCUCAAAAUCCACCACUUUCACUUUGCCGCUUCUAUCAAAAUCGAUUCAAAAUCCAUGACUUUCACUUUCUCUCUUCUGCUAGCGAUAGAUAUCUAUCUCUUCGGUUGUUCUGCUCAAAUCCUUCGUUAUCUCAAUUUAUAGGGUUUCAAGAUGACAAGAUCUAGUCAGCCUCACAGAAGACAGUUCGAUUUCUGCCGGAUUCAAACCCUAUCUAAUGUUCUUCACUUUGUAUGGAUAGGGUUUGGAUCGAAUUGUUUGAGUCUGUCAAAUAAUCUUAAUCGAGAUUUUUUGAUAGAUUGAAGGUAAACAGCGCUUUCCAAUUCAACCUCUGGGUAAACAAGUUCGUUCUCACCUCUUUCAAUUCCUCACUAGAUCUACCAAAAAGAUGGGUCAAGCCGAGAAAUUGAUGAACCAUAUAAUGUAACUCAUCUUCACCUCCAAAAGCCUACACCGUCAGGCAAGAAAGUGCAAAAAAGAAAACUUUGAAGUGAAAAAAGCCAUCCAGAAAGGUCAUACUGGGAUCGUGUAUCUGGCUCGUUUCUCACAUACGGCACAGAAGAUGGUGUUUAAAGUGUUUUUCGAUUCUAGGCUAGUUGUUGGCUGUUUUACUUCCAGUGGUUAAGUACUGCUCUACUUUUGAAGUAUAUGGGAAGACAAUUGGUAGCUUUCUUCCCAAAGAUAGUCCCUUACGUCAGGAUCCUGCUUACUACAUAUUCAAAGAAGACACACCUCCUUGAAUGUUUGGCUUAGUUGAGAAGCAUAGAUGGUUGUAUGCAUGUGCCCAAUAAUUGAUAGAGGGGCUAAUAUACGGUGAACAAGCAAAUUUAUAUCACAACCGUUGUCUUGUGUUCGCGAUAGCAAGACCUUUUUAAUUGGAUUGGCCCAAGGAUGGAUUUAAAUCCAGGAAUUGAUGGUCCCAGUGAAGAUGUUUCAAGGGUUCUGGCAUGCUUCAGCAAUAACCUAUUGAGAAGGGAACCUCUGAAGCUCUGAAUGGUGGUGAAUCACAAAGAACCUUUAUUUAAAUCAAGGAUGCUAUUGAAGCUGUUCUUUUGAUGAUUCAUGUUAUCAAACGCGAUGCACUUCCUUGCGUGCUGAGCUUGUUGACCUAUUACCACAAGAGGCGCAUAAAAAGGAAGCCUGCUGGACAAAUUCAAGCAUCACUGCUGGAGAUAGAGAACACAUACAGGAUACACUUACUAUAGCAAUUCUUCCCAACAGCUCAUGGAUGCAAAUUAUAGUCCAAAAGCGGAGAGUAUAUCGACUUGAAGAAAACAACCUAGAAAUAGUUCCUAGAUUGUGUAGUCAUUUUCGUUUGCAACUUUUGUAGAUAGGUUUCGGUUAGAAAUGUGUCUUUAGUAUUUCAAUUGAAAACUUACGUAUGGAUUUUUGGUUAAUGUCAUUUGGUUUUAGAUUUU